rnacentral:rRNA from 1 species
GUCCACACAGUAACGAUGAAUACUCGCUGUUUGCGAUAUACAGUAAGCGGCCAAGCGAAAGCGUUAAGUAUUCCACCUGGGGAGUACGCCGGCAACGGUGAAACUCAAAGGAAUUGACGGGGGCCCGCACAAGCGGAGGAACAUGUGGUUUAAUUCGAUGAUACGCGAGGAACCUUACCCGGGCUUGAAUUGCAGACGAGUCAUCCGGAGACGGAUGAGCCGCAAAGGCGUCUGUGAAAGGUGCUGCAUGGUUGUCGU